rnacentral:lncRNA from 1 species
GGUCGCGGGGGUUAUAUAGACGUGCUCGGGCGUGAAAAUGGAAGGCCGGAGGAGGAGAUUGCGGCGGCAGGCGCGCGGGGACGGCGGCCGGAAAUCGCGGCGGCGGCGCGAGGGUUUCCUUCCGGGGAAGAAGCCCCUGACAGGUGGGCCCCACCUGUCAGCGGGUGCGGGCGCGCGCGUGGGGCGGCGGGGCUUGUCGGGCCGGCGUGCGUGCGGUCGGACUGGGCCGGUUCGGCCCAUUUUGGCCGGGCCGGUCCGGUUUUCUAUUUUUUUUUUCUUUUAGCCUUUUCUUUUUCUGCUUUUCCCAUUUCUUUGAUAUCUUUUGUGUUUGAACUCCAAAUUGGUCCAAUCAAAUUCCAGAGAAUUUGUAAAAUCAUGUUCUAUCAAGAUACAACUUUUGGAAGUAGUUUAUCUUCAAAAAUAAAAUAUAUAAAAAUACAUUUGCCCUAUAAAUGCCUUUAGGGCCAUAUAUCUAUUUAAAUAAAAUACUUUUUCAACUCUAAAUAAUUGUCCAAAAAUUAUGGGAUAGCUUAUAUAUGCAUUAAACCCCUUUUGUAUAUAAACCUUAAUGCUUUGAAGAUCCAAAGCUCAAAUAGGUGUAAAGAAAGUCUUUUAGAGCCCUUUUGAGAUUUAAUAAUUGAAUUCAAAUAUGAUAUUGUGGCAUGAUGCUCAUGGAUGCAAUGCACAUGUAAAAGUUUGAAAUUUUGCGAUGUUACAAUUUUGAAUUGGACUAGAAUGCUAGUACGUAUAGGUUUUGAACUUUUGAGUUUUGGUUGUGUGUGUAUAUAUACAAGAUUUUUGGACUAGAGUGCAUGAUUUUUGGACUAGAGUGCAAUUUACCAGAUUUAUGAGUAAAGCAGAAAUUUAAAAAUGAAAGAAUUAAAGAAGACUAUGGUGCCUUUGGCCUAGCAAUUUCUGGUGUAGUUACUUCAUGCGAUUGAUCUUGGAGCAAAACCAAAAUUUCUGUGAGGGAGCCUUUUGUUGUACGUGUUGCCUUAUAAUUACUACUCACUACAAAUUGCUAUUUUGUAUAAUGUUAUUUCAAAGUCAUUUAUACUUUACAUAAAAUCCUACUAUGAUUGAUAUUGCC